rnacentral:rRNA from 1 species
UACAGAGACUGCAAGCGUUAUUCGGAUUCACUGGGCGUAAAGGGUGCGCAGGCGGCUAAGUGUGUCAGGUGUGAAAUCCCGAGGCUCAACCUCGGAACUGCGCCUGAAACUACUUGGCUAGAGUAUUGGAGAGGGUAACGGAAUUCACGGUGUAGCAGUGAAAUGCGUAGAUAUCGUGAGGAACACCAGAGGCGAAGGCGGUUACCUGGACAAUUACUGACGCUCAGGCACGAAAGCGUGGGGAUCAAACAGG